GAUGAACGCUAGCGGCAGGCCUAAUACAUGCAAGUCGAACGGUGUCUUCGGACAUAGUGGCGCACGGGUGCGUAACACGUAUGCAACCUACCUUACAUUGGGGGAUAGCCUUUCGAAAGGGAGAUUAAUACCGCAUAAGACAGUAGCUGGGCAUCCAGCAGCUGUUAAAGAUUUAUCGAUGUAAGCUGGGCAUGCGUCCAAUUAGCUAGUUGGUGAGGUAACGGCUCACCAAGGCAAUGAUUGGUAGGGGAACUGAGAGGUCAAUCCCCCACCCUGGGACGUGGAAACGGGCCAGAGUCCGACGGGAGGCAGCAGUAGGGAGUAUUGGGCAAUGGACGCAAGGCUGACCCAGCCAUGCCGCGUGCAGGAUGAAGGCGUUAUGCGUUGUAAACUGCUUUUCUACAGGAAGAAACGACUCUUGCGAGAGGCAUUGACGGUACUGUAUGAAUAAGCACCGGCUAACUCCGUGCCAGCCGCCGCGGUAAAAC
rnacentral:rRNA from 1 species